rnacentral:rRNA from 1 species
UACGGAGGAUGCGAGCGUUAUCCGGAUUUAUUGGGUUUAAAGGGUGCGUAGGCGGAUUUUUAAGUCAGCGGUAAAAAUGCGGUGCUCAACGCCGUCGAGCCGUUGAAACUGGCGUUCUUGAGUGGGCGAGAAGUAUGCGGAAUGCGUGGUGUAGCGGUGAAAUGCAUAGAUAUCACGCAGAACUCCGAUUGCGAAGGCAGCAUACCGGCGCCCUACUGACGCUGAGGCACGAAAGCGUGGGUAUCGAACAGG